rnacentral:rRNA from 1 species
AUCUUGCGCAAUGGGCGAAAGCCUGACGCAGCGACGCCGCGUGAGGGAAGAAGGCCUUCGGGUUGUAAACCUCUUUCAGGAGGGACGACGCUACUCGGGUUAAUACCCCAGAGGGUGACGGUACCUCCAGAAGAAGCCCCGGCCAACUACGUGCCAGCAGCCGCGGUAACACGUAGGGGGCAAGCGUUGUCCGGAUUUAUUGGGCGUAAAGAGCUCGUAGGCGGUUCAGUAAGUCGGGUGUGAAACCUCCAGGCUCAACCUGGAGACGCCACCCGAUACUGCUGUGACUAGAGUCCAGUAGGGGAGCGUGGAAUUCCUGGUGUAGCGGUGAAAUGCGCAGAUAUCAGGAGGAACACCAGUGGCGAAGGCGGCGCUCUGGGCUGGAACUGACGCUGAGGAGCGAAAGCGUGGGGAGCGAAC